UCUUUGCUUUUAUGCUGCUUACAUCUAUCUAUUCAUACUUGAGUCAUACUUCUGUUAUGUUGCUAUAACUUGGAGUCUAUUUUUUUGUAGAGUGCAUGAAAUGGAGAUGAUGUCAGUGGGUCUUUCAUGGUAUAUAAGCAAUUAGGCCAUACAAAAGCAUCAUUAACAAGUACAGAGGGUUAUAAUCCCAACUAUUUGGGGUGAGCUACAUGAAUGAAUCCUUUUCAUUUAUUUCUAAUAACAGUGAUAUCCUAGUGCAUGUUCUAAUUUGUAUUGCGUGAAAAUCCAUCUUCUAAAUUAUGGCAAUGUAUUUAAUGGCUAUUAGAUGACAAACACGCUAUUCCUUCUUCUCCUUGAUUGAUAUUCAUGCUCGGGAGAAUAGAAUGUGACAUGCACUGGUGGUGUUGUUAUGUACAUGGAACUUUAAGAAGAACCUUUUUCCCCAUUUUCUUGGUAUUUCCAAUAUUGAUUUAACAUAGUCACGAUGUUUACGUUGCGAUGGAAUGUUAUCAAGCAAUUAGGCAAGCUUGAUUCUCUUAGCCUAUUUCUGUGAAUUUUGGCAUUUUGUACUGUUUAGGUCCUGAUACAUGUUAUAAAAUUCUCCUUCUGUUUCGUUUCAUAUCUGUUUCUUGUACUGUUUAAGUCCUGAUACAUUUUGUACUAUUUCUAGGUAUUUCCAAUAUCUGUUUGUUCGUAUCAGACUCGUAGUUUGUGACUUCGAUAAGUUCUAUUUUCUCGUAGCUUGUUCUUGUUAAAGAUCCAAACUGUUGGUGGAAAAUUAGACUGCCAAAAGUCGUGGAUCAUGUCUAUGAUCUUCCUUUUGUUCUAUUACUUUUUCUUCUGAUUGAGCAAACUUUUACUCCAUAGACUAUGAACGUCCUGAAAGCCACAUGCCAUUGUGCAGUUGCACAAACAUUUCACAAGAUUAGUGGGAAAUAGUAUCAUAGCUUACUCUCUCUUAUUUCAAUAGCUGACUUGAAUCUACAGCCACAUGGGAUUUACUUAAAAUUGUCUUCAGUGAAAAACCUUAAGAGAUUAAGGUGACUUUCCAGGAUACCCUGCAUGUUUUAUCAAAUAUAAUAUGAAUUUAUAAGUAGCAAAAGGAUGAUUCUUCAUUUCCUUGAAAUGCAAUGGUCUAUUCUUGGAAUUAACAGUGAAGAGUGGGUUUUCCCUUCGUAUCUGUCCAUUCUAAGGGGCAGGACACUCUGUUUCUUCUGUUCUCUCACAUCAGGUAACCAUGCUAAACCACUAUUAAACAUCAACUUGUCCCAGUAAAUUCCUAUACUGUAUAAAAGAGGCUAAACCUCCAAGAAGACUUGUUUGUUUCUUGGUGCAGAUCAUGAAGUCACUAUGAACCAGAGCAUGUCUUUAUGAGUAGUCCUUGAUUUGCUUAGUGCAGUUUGAGACUUCACCCCCAGUUCAAGGUGCUCAGUUGAUGGUGAACGCUUGGAACAGGUGUCCUGAUUUUUUGGUCAAACUCUGUGGUAUCAGUCCAAAAAGACACAUUCGGAAGUCAAGAUCUAUUGAA